rnacentral:rRNA from 1 species
GAUUAACGCUGGCGGCGUGCAUAACACAUUCAAGUCGAACGGACUUUAGCCUUCGGGCUAAAAGUUAGUGGCGGACGGGUGAGUAACGCGUGAGCAACCUACCUUCUGAUGGGGGAUAACGUCUAGGAAACGGACGCUAAUACCGCAUAAACCGAUGUUAUCGCAUGGUGAUAUCGGCAAAGAGAUAUCGUCAGGAGAUGGGCUCGCGUUGGAUUAGAUAGUUGGCGGGGUAACGGCCCACCAAGUCAACGAUCCAUAGCCGGACUGAGAGGUCGGACGGCCACAUUGGAACUGAGAUACGGUCCAGACUCCUACGGGAGGCAGCAGUGGGGAAUAUUGGGCAAUGGGCGAAAGCCUGACCCAGCGACGCCGCGUGAAGGAAGAAGGUCUUCGGAUUGUAAACUUCAGUAGGCAGGGACGAAGAAAGUGACGGUACCUGCAGAGUAAGCCACGGCUAACUACGUG